AACGAACGCUUGCGGCGCGCCUAAUACAUGCAAGUCGAACGAGGUAGCAAUACCAAGUGGCGCACGGGUGAGUAACGCGUGGAUAAUCUGCCCUUCAGUGGGGAAUAACCAUCCGAAAGGAUGGCUAAUACCGCAUGAGGCCACAGUUUCUGCGGAAACAGGGGUUAAAGAUUUAUCGCUGAAGGAUGAGUCUGCGUGGGAUUAGCUAGUUGGUGAGGUAAUGGCUCACCAAGGCGACGAUCUCUAACUGGUCUGAGAGGAUGACCAGUCACACUGGAACUGAGACACGGUCCAGACUCCUACGGGAGGCAGCAGUAGGGAAUAUUGCGCAAUGGGGGAAACCCUGACGCAGCGACGCCGCGUGAGUGAUGAAGGCCUUAGGGUCGUAAAGCUCUGUUGAAUGGGAAGAAAAAAAUGACGGUACCAUUUGAGGAAGGCCCGGCUAACUUCGUGCCAGCAGCCGCGGUAAGACGAGGGGGCCUAGCGUUGUUCGGAAUCAUUGGGCGUAAAGCGUGUGUAGGCGGCCAUUCAAGUCAGUUGUGAAAGCCCCGGGCUCAACCCGGGAAGUGCUUCUGAUACUGUUUGGCUUGAGUACUGGAGAGGAUAGUAGAAUUCCUGGUGUAGUGGUGAAAUACGUAGAUAUCAGGAGGAAUACCGGUGGCGAAGGCGGCUAUCUGGCCAUGUACUGACGCUGAGACACGAAAGCGUGGGGAGCAAACAGGAUUAGAUACCCUGGUAGUCCACGCCGUAAACGAUGGAUACUUGGUGUUGGAGGUAUUGACCCCUUCAGUGCCGAAGCUAACGCGUUAAGUAUCCCGCCUGGGGAGUACGGUCGCAAGAUUAA
rnacentral:rRNA from 1 species